GUCAACGAUCUUUAUAAAGUUGUUUGAAGCGUCUAUGAUAAACAGAGAGCAAAUUAGAAUGCUGGGAAGUUGACAUGUCGUCACUUCAUUUUUUUGCGCCUGCGCAUAAAUCUGAGAAGCGUGAGUUUGUCAUAAUUGUUUAUCUAGACAUAGGAUAGGUUGUGUGAAAAUAUUACUGAUGUUUAACGUUAAAAAUGGACCAAAAGAUUAAUGCUAAACAACGUUUGACAUGUUUGAACGAACGUAAAUAGAUUAUUUACUAGGUUUUUUAGCUUUUCGGCGUGAUUUUACACCCCCCCCCACCACGUUUUGUGGGAGCAUAAUGAACGCUAACUACUUGGUGUUAUUUGGACAUAAAUUAUGAACUUUGUCAAAAGAAACCACAUUUGUUCUGGACCUGGGAUUCCUGGCAGUGCCUUCUGAUGGAGAUAAUCAAAGGAGUGUCAUCUGAUGGAGAUUGUCAAAGGGCCAGGAGUCAUGGAUCACACUGGCAGGUGUGCUAAGAACACAGAUUACAUGCUAACAGCGACCAGAUUCUCCGGCAUGAUUACAUCACUGAAAUACUCAAGCUGUGAUGCUCUCUCCGCCGUUCUUCCCAGACAGAGAGCUACUCCACUAGCCUGGCUUCUCCAUCACACGUCCCCCUCUGCCCCCUCUUAGUUGUCCCCCUUUGCUAAUCAAUGUUUUCUGCUUGCGCCUACUCUAUGGAAAGGAGUAAUCGUCCCAGAAUAUUUGAUGCAAGAACUGUGAACACCAUGUGCGCCUCACAAAAGAUCUCAUCCAACAUCAAGAGGCCCAUGUCCAGUUUGACAUUGCACAGAAACUCAACAGGACCAUUGGUGAGCAGACAAACCUCAUUACAGC
rnacentral:lncRNA from 1 species